GGCAUGCGAGUCGUGCGGGUGUAGCAAUACACCAGCGGCGAAAGGGACAGUAAUAUGUAGGUCAUCUGCCCUCGAGACGGGGAUAGCCGCGGGAAACUGCGGGUAAUACCCGAUAACGUCUUCGGACCAAAGGUGUGAGUCCGCUCGGGGAUGAGCCUACAUCCUAUUAGCUAGUUGGCGGGGUAACGGCCCACCAAGGCAUCGAUGGGUAGCGGGUGUGAGAGCACGACCCGCGUCAUUGGGACUGAGACACUGCCCAGACACCUACGGGUGGCUGCAGUCGAGAAUCUUCGGCAAUGGACGCAAGUCUGACCGAGCGACGCCGCGUGCGGGAUGAAGGCCUUCGGGUUGUAAACCGCUGUCAGUGGGGAGGAAGGCUUCGUGAAGAGCGAGGUUUGACCUAUCCGCAGAGGAAGUGAGGGCUAAGCUCGUGCCAGCAGCCGCGGUAAGACGAGCCUCACAAACGUUAUUCGGAAUUACUGGGCUUAAAGGGUGCGUAGGCGGCGCGGAAAGUUGGGUGUGAAAUCCCUCGGCUCAACCGAGGAAUUGCGCUCAAAACUACCGUGCUCGAGGGAGAUAGAGGAAUGCGGAACUUACGGUGGAGCGGUGAAAUGCGUUGAUAUCGUAGGGAACACCGGUGGCGAAAGCGGCAUUCUGGAUCUCUUCUGACGCUGAUGCACGAAAGCUAGGGUAGCAAACGGGAUUAGAUACCCCGGUAGUCCUAGCGUAAACGAUGAGCACUGGAUUGAAGGCCCCUCCAUAGGCUUUCAGUCGCAGAGAAAUUGUUUAGUGCUCCGCCUGGGGAGUAUGGUCGCA
rnacentral:rRNA from 1 species